rnacentral:rRNA from 1 species
GUCCACGCCGUAAACGAUGGACACUAGGCGUCGGGGGGAGCGACCCCUCCGGUGCCGUCGCUAACGCAGUAAGUGUCCCGCCUGGGGAGGUACGGCCGCAAGGCUGAAACUCAAAGGAAUUGACGGGGGCCCGCACAAGCGGUUGAGCAUGUGGUUUAAUUCGAAGCAACGCGAAGAACCUUACCUGGGCUUGACAUGCUGGUGAAAGCCGGUGGAAACAUCUGCCCCUCUUCGGAGCGCCAGCACAGGUGCUGCAUGGCUGUCGU